GUGAGGAAUAUUGGACAAUGGGCGCAAGCCUGAUCCAGCCAUGCCGCGUGCAGGAAGACGCAUCUAUGGUGUGUAAACUGCUUUUGUACGGGAAGAAACACUCCCUCGUGAGGGAGCUUGACGGUACCGUAAGAAUAAGGAUCGGCUAACUCCGUGCCAGCAGCCGCUGUCAUACGGAGGAUCCAAGCGUUAUCCGGAAUCAUUGGGUUUAAAGGGUCCGUAGGCGGUUUAAUAAGUCAGUGGUGAAAGCCCAUCGCUCAACGAUGGAACGGCCAUUGAUACUGUUAGACUUGAAUUACAAGGAAGUAACUAGAAUAUGUAGUGUAGCGGUGAAAUGCUUAGAUAUUACAUGGAAUACCAAUUGCGAAGGCAGGUUACUACUUGUGGAUUGACGCUGAUGGACGAAAGCGUGGGGAGCGAACAGGAUUAGAAACCCGUGUAGUCC
rnacentral:rRNA from 1 species